rnacentral:rRNA from 1 species
CCAGACUCCUACGGGAGGCAGCAGUGGGGAAUAUUGGGCAAUGGGCGCAAGCCUGACCCAGCAACGCCGCGUGAAGGAAGAAGGCUUUCGGGUUGUAAACUUCUUUUGUCAGGGACGAAGCAAGUGACGGUACCUGGCGAAUAAGCCACGGCUAACUACGUGCCAGCAGCCGCGGUAAUACGUAGGUGGCAAGCGUUAUCCGGAUUUACUGGGUGUAAAGGGCGUGUAGGCGGGACUGCAAGUCAGAUGUGAAAACCACGGGCUCAACCUGUGGCCUGCAUUUGAAACUGUAGUUCUUGAGUACUGGAGAGGCAGACGGAAUUCCUAGUGUAGCGGUGAAAUGCGUAGAUAUUAGGAGGAACACCAGUGGCGAAGGCGGUCUGCUGAACAGCAACUGACGCUGAGGCGCGGAAGCGUGGGGAGCAAACAGGAUUAGAUACCCCAGUAG